AACGAACGCUGGCGGCAGGCUUAACACAUGCAAGUCGAACGCCCCGCAAGGGGAGUGGCAGACGGGUGAGUAACGCGUGGGAACGUGCCCUUCGCUUCGGAAUAGCCCCGGGAAACUGGGAGUAAUACCGAAUACGCCGUAUUGGGAAAGAUUUAUCGGCGAAGGAUCGGCCCGCGUUAGAUUAGCUAGUUGGCGGUGUAAUGGACCACCAAGGCUACGAUCUAUAGCUGGUCUGAGAGGAUGAUCAGCCACACUGGGACUGAGACACGGCCCAGACCCCUACGGGAGGCAGCAGUGGGGAAUCUUGGACAAUGGGCGCAAGCCUGAUCCAGCCAUGCCGCGUGAGUGAAGAAGGCCUUAGGGUUGUAAAACUCUUUCGCCGGAGAAGAUAAUGACGGUAUCCGGAGAAGAAGCCCCGGCUAACUUCGUGCCAGCAGCCGCCGUAACAC
rnacentral:rRNA from 1 species